rnacentral:rRNA from 1 species
UACGGAGGGGGCUAGCGUUGUUCGGAAUUACUGGGCGUAAAGCGCACGUAGGCGGCUUUGUAAGUUAGAGGUGAAAGCCCGGGGCUCAACCCCGGAAUAGCCUUUAAGACUGCAUCGCUUGAACACGGGAGAGGUGAGUGGAAUUCCGAGUGUAGAGGUGAAAUUCGUAGAUAUUCGCAAGAACACCAGUGGCGAAGGCGGCUCACUGGCCCGGUACUGACGCUGAGGUGCGAAAGCGUGGGGAGCAAACAGG